GGCUAGUCCAAGUGUCGUUGUGUCUACAACUAAUUGAUCACAACCAGUUACAGAUUCCUUUGUUCCUUCUCCACUCCCACUGCUUCACUUGAAUAGUCUUAA
rnacentral:Y_RNA from 1 species